GCCAGGUGAGGUGGCCCACGCCUGUAAUCCCAGAGCUUGGGAGGCUGAGGCAGGAGGAUCACGAGUUCAAAGCCAGCCUUGCCAACGGUGAGAUGCUGAGCAGCUCAGUGAGACCCUGUGUCUA
rnacentral:sRNA from 1 species